rnacentral:ncRNA from 1 species
AUUUGAAAAAGCCAAACUCUAAGAAAUUAGAUGACGGAAAACUAUAGGGGCUAAGUAGGGAACUAUAUUGCUAGCCAGUUACCAAA